UAGCCUAGUGGUUAAGGCUAUGGGCCGCCAAUCCGGAGACGGCGGGUUCGAUUCCCGU
rnacentral:tRNA from 1 species